GACGAACGCUGGCGGCGCGCCUAACACAUGCAAGUCGAACGAGCGAGAGAGAGCUUGCUUUCUCGAGCGAGUGGCGAACGGGUGAGUAACGCGUGAGGAACCUGCCUCAAAGAGGGGGACAACAGUUGGAAACGACUGCUAAUACCGCAUAAGCCCACGGUGCCGCAUGGCACAGAGGGAAAAGGAGCAAUCCGCUUUGAGAUGGCCUCGCGUCCGAUUAGCUAGUUGGUGAGGUAAUGGCCCACCAAGGCGACGAUCGGUAGCCGGACUGAGAGGUUGAACGGCCACAUUGGGACUGAGGCACGGCCCAGACUCCUACGGGAGGCAGCAGUGGGGAAUAUUGCACAAUGGGGGAAACCCUGAUGCAGCGACGCCGCGUGGAGGAAGAAGGUCUUCGGAUUGUAAACUCCUGUUGUUGGGGAAGAUAAUGACGGUACCCAACAAGGAAGUGACGGCUAACUACGUA
rnacentral:rRNA from 1 species